rnacentral:tRNA from 1 species
UGGGGUGUGGCUCAGUGGUAGAGCAUUUAUUUAGCAUGUGUGAGGCACUAGGUUCGAUUCUCAGCACCACAU